rnacentral:rRNA from 1 species
UGACGAGUGGCGCACGGGUGAGUAACGCGUACACAACAUGCCUCUAACAGGGAGAUAUACUUGGGAAACUGAGGGCAAUACCCCAUAAUAUCAUAAUACUGCAUGGUAUAAUGAUUAAAGAUUUAUCGGUUAGAGAUUGGUGUGCGUCCCAUUAGUUAGUUGGUAAGGUAACGGCUUACCAAGACGAUGAUGGGUAGGGGGCGUGAGAGCGUGGACUCCCACACGGGUACUGAGACACGGACCCGACUCCUACGGGAGGCAGCAGUAAGGAAUAUUGGUCAAUGGAGGGAACUCUGAACCAGCCAUGCCGCGUGCAGGAUGAAGGCCCUCUGGGUCGUAAACUGCUUUUAUUAGGGAAGAAUAGCAGAUAUUUAUAUUUGUGUGACGGUACCUAAAGAAUAAGCACCGGCUAACUCCGUGCCAGCAGCCGCGGUAAUACGGAGGGUGCAAGCGUUAUCCG